rnacentral:tRNA from 1 species
GGCCCGUUGGUCAAGCGGUUAAGACAUCGCCCUCUCACGGCGAAAACAUGGGUUCGAUUCCCGUACGGGUCACCA